UACGUAGGUGGCAAGCGUUGUCCGGAUUUACUGGGCGUAAAGAGCGCGCAGGCGGUCUUGUAAGUCGAAUGUGAAAGCCCCUGGCUCAACCGGGGAGGGUCAUUCGAUACUGCUCGACUCGAAGGCAGGAGAGGGAAGCGGAAUUCCCGGUGUAGUGGUGAAAUGCGUAGAUAUCGGGAGGAACACCGGUGGCGAAGGCGGCCCCCUGGUUGGAUACUGACGCUGAGACGCGAAAGCGUGGGGAGCAAACAGA
rnacentral:rRNA from 1 species